rnacentral:rRNA from 1 species
UACGUAGGCAGCGAGCGUUGUUCGGAAUUACUGGGCGUAAAGAGUGUGUAGGCGGUGCUGUAAGUCUGGUGUGAAAUCUCCCGGCUCAACUGGGAGGGUGCGCUAGAAACUGCAGUGCUCGAGUGUGGGAGAGGUAAGCGGAAUUCCUGGUGUAGCGGUGAAAUGCGUAGAUAUCAGGAGGAACACCUGUGGUGUAGACAGCUUACUGGACCACGACUGACGCUGAGACACGAAAGCGUGGGUAGCAAACAGG